AACCUAGCACACCUGCGGUGUGUACCUGCGGAGGGAUCAUUACACAACAAAAUAUGAAGGUCUGGCUUCGCGGCCGGCUGAAGUAUUUUUUUUCACCCAUGUCUUUUGCGCACUUGUUGUUUCCUGGGCGGGUUCGCCCGCCACCAGGACCAAACCAUAAACCUUUUUUUUAUGUAGUUGCAAUCAGCGUCAGUAAAAACAAUGUAAUUAUUACAACUUUUAACAACGGAUCUCAGAUCG
rnacentral:misc_RNA from 1 species